rnacentral:sRNA from 1 species
CAGUCAGUCUCGAUGGAGCAAAGUAAAAGACAAAGUAGAAAGUGAUCCACGUUACAAAGCAGUAGAUAGUUCAUCAAUGAGAGAAGACCUUUUCAAACAGUACAUUGAAAAAAUAGCCAAGAAUUUAGACUCAGAAAAAGAAAAGGAGCUUGAAAGGCAAGCCCGCAUUGAGGCAAGCCUUCGAGAACGAGAAAGGGAGGUUCAAAAGGCCCGUUCAGAACAAACGAAAGAAAUAGAUCGAGAGAGAGAGCAGCACAAACGAGAAGAAGCUAUCCAGAAUUUCAAAGCUCUUCUGUCUGACAUGGGCCAUCAUUGUGAUGAUCAGUUAUACUUGCAGAUGGUAUGAGAUUGUAGGACUGGAAGUGUAACUGACCGCAGGAGAUACCCUGAAACUUUGUUGAAAAUCUUUCUCCCUUACCCCUCAGAGUUGUUGAGCCUUGCUGAACAUGCUUAAUGAACCAUACCAUCCUUCCAUUGCUCACGGCAGUCUCUCUACCUGAUAUGAUUUGGAAGUGUUCCUGUUGCAGUGACAGACUUUCUCGUUCUUCAGGGGUACGUUCUUCAGAUGUGUCAUGGUCUGAUACUCGUAGGACCCUCCGAAAAGAUCACCGCUGGGAAUCUGGAUCCUUAUUGGAAAGAGAGGAGAAAGAGAAGCUUUUUAAUGAACACAUUGAAGCACUUACCAAAAAAAAGAGAGAGCAC